AGUCGUAACAAGGUUUCCGUAGGUGAACCUGCGGAAGGAUCAUUACCGAGUGCGGGCUGCCUCCGGGCGCCCAACCUCCCACCCGUGACUACCUAACACUGUUGCUUCGGCGGGGAGCCCCCCAGGGGCGAGCCGCCGGGGACCACUGAACUUCAUGCCUGAGAGUGAUGCAGUCUGAGCCUGAAUACAAAUCAGUCAAAACUUUCAACAAUGGAUCUCUUGGUUCCGGCAUCGAUGAAGAACGCAGCGAACUGCGAUAAGUAAUGUGAAUUGCAGAAUUCAGUGAAUCAUCGAGUCUUUGAACGCACAUUGCGCCCCCUGGCAUUCCGGGGGGCAUGCCUGUCCGAGCGUCAUUGCUGCCCUCAAGCCCGGCUUGUGUGUUGGGUCGUCGUCCCCCCCGGGGGACGGGCCCGAAAGGCAGCGGCGGCACCGUGUCCGGUCCUCGAGCGUAUGGGGCUUUGUCACCCGCUCGAUUAGGGCCGGCCGGGCGCCAGCCGGCGUCUCCAACCUUAUUUUUCUCAGGUUGACCUCGGAUCAGGUAGGGAUACCCGCUGAACCUAAGCAUAUCA
rnacentral:misc_RNA from 1 species